rnacentral:rRNA from 1 species
AACGAACGCUGGCGGCAUGCCUAACACAUGCGAGUCGAACGAGACCUUCGGGUCUAGUGGCGCACGGGUGCGUAACGCGUGGGAACCUGCCCUUAGGUUCGGAAUAACUCCCCGAAAGGGGUGCUAAUACCGGAUAAUGUCUUCGGACCAAAGAUUUAUCGCCUUUGGAUGGGCCCGCGUUGGAUUAGCUAGUUGGUAGGGUAAAAGCCUACCAAGGCGACGAUCCAUAGCUGGUCUGAGAGGAUGAUCAGCCACACUGGGACUGAGACACGGCCCAGACUGCUACGGGAGGCAGCAGUGGGGAAUAUUGGACAAUGGGCGAAAGCCUGAUCCAGCAAUGCCGCGUGAGUGAUGAAGGCCUUAGGGUUGUAAAGCUCUUUUACCCGGGAUGAUAAUGACAGUACCGGGAGAAUAAGCUCCGGCUAACUCCGUG